AAGUCGUAACAAGGUUUCCGUAGGUGAACCUGCGGAAGGAUCAUUAACGAGUUUUGAAAGGGGUUGUCGCUGGCCUUUCACGAGGCAUGUGCACACCCUGCUCAUCCACUCUCAACCUCUGUGCACUUAUUGUAGGUCGGUGGAAGGCUUGCAAGAGCUGGAAGCCUGCUUAUGUUUUACUACAAACGCUUCAGUUAUAGAAUGUUUACUUGCGUAUAACGCAUUUAUGUACAACUUUCAGCAACGGAUCUCUUGGCUCUC
rnacentral:misc_RNA from 1 species